UACGUAGGGGGCAAGCGUUGUCCGGAAUUAUUGGGCGUAAAGCGCGCGCAGGCGGCCUAUUAAGUCUGAUGUGAAAGCCCACGGCUCAACCGUGGAGGGCCAUUGGAAACUGUUAGGCUUGAGUGCAGGAGAGGAAAGCGGAAUUCCCGGUGUAGCGGUGAAAUGCGUAGAUAUCACGAAGAACACCAGUGGCGAAGGCGACUCUCUGGUCUGUAACUGACGCUGAGGCGCGAAAGCGUGGGGAGCAAACAGG
rnacentral:misc_RNA from 1 species